rnacentral:rRNA from 1 species
GACAGAGGAUGCAAGCGUUAUCCGGAAUGAUUGGGCGUAAAGGGCGCGUAGGCGGCUUGAUAAGCGUGCGGUGAAAGCCCGGGGCUCAACCCCGGGUCGGCCGUGCGAACUGUCGAGCUGGAGCACUGUAGAGGCAGGUGGAAUUCCGGGUGUAGCGGUGGAAUGCGUAGAGAUCCGGAAGAACACCGGUGGCGAAGGCGGCCUGCUGGGCAGUGGCUGACGCUGAGGCGCGACAGCGUGGGGAGCAAACAGG